UCAAAUUUUGACUUCAUUUCUGGCUUUGGUUCCACCUUCUUAACAGAGGAUGAUUUUAGUUUCUUUGAAGCUGGUUCUUCAUCAGAUGCUGACAUCUGACCUAAAUGAUAGCUCUUUGGAUACAAGUUCUUCCGGCUUCAUUCUUACAAGCCUUGACAAAGGAAGGUCUUCCCUAAGAACACGAUGGAAAAGUCCCUAGAGAGAGAGGAGUGAUUCGAGGUGCUGCAAAGAUUCAACAAGAGACAUGAUCCAGUAACUGACCAUGCCAGCUGUGACGGGUGGAAGAGUUGUGAGGAAUUUACAGCAGCCACGGAGUGACAACACACUAUGGGCUUCCCUGCUUAUGCAUACAAAGCAGGGAAGGAUAGCCGCUUUUCAGGACCGUUUUCUUCCUCUGAAUCAUCCAAGAUGGCACCAAUUGCAAAUGGGACAUUGAAUUGGCAAGCCCUGGUGCUCAAGCUCUAUGGAAACUUAUCCUGGCAAGGUCUAGCAUGCCUUCCUUGGACAUCUAGAAUCUCAUCAGUUGGCCUGUGGGACAAGAAAAAUCUUCACACUCUCCCAAACCCAACCCAGGUAAGUGGAUGUUUCUGCAGCUUAUACACCUCCCCUGCAAUAUGUGGUGCAGCCCACCGCUUAAGUCUUCUUGCACAGAUCUUGAAGAUGUAGCUCCACGGAGGGCAUCUUCAGCUCCCAUUCACUGCUUUCAGACACAGUCAGAAGCCACACAGCAGUCCAGAUCUGCUCCUUUGUCUGUAAUACUGGAAGUAUAAGACAUCAGCACGGAGAACCCCUUUUAUUUGGAGGGGAGGAGGAAGAGUUCCAAUUAGUCACUCAGCCAGUUUAAGGUAAUGAUGAUAAAAAACUCAAAACAUAUAUAGUAGGAAGGAACCUUACAUUCCCUUUAUAUUUGAUUAGCGAAGAAAGAGUUGACGACGUAGACACAUGACAGCCCCAAAUGACUGAAUUACACCUGCUACCUGAGCUGGGUCACUGCUCUCACACAAGAGAUUUUCUUCAGUGACUGUGAUGCACUGUGUUAGACUGUAUUGUUGGAGACAUGUCAUGGACCACUUGAAUGAAGCCUGCAGACCAGUUUGGGAACCUCUGCUCUAAAAUAACUCUAGAGUAACUUAUAGCUAUUAUGAAAGGAAACUAGUGCAGUUAUCUAAGAAGUUCCCUUUACUAACAUCUAAUUUAAGAGUGUGAUGAUGUUUUUAAGGUCAUUUUUCAGGAAAAUGAACACUCACGACCAGGCACUACAGUGCAGCGAGCAUCCAAUCAGCAUGGGGUCAUAAGUACUUUAGAUAUUUCUGAGGAGUGCAAAGACAUGCAAGAGUAGAUGGAGCAUAGUAGGGUGCCAUGUCUCUAAUGCUGUAGAGCUUAUUGCUGUCUACCAUAAUAGUGUGUUUUUCAGAGAUCAGAAAGGAAAUGAAUGAAGUUUCAUGUAAUGUAUGUGAGAUCCAGAUCUACUCCAUCAGGUGAUGAUCAAUAAGACUUCUGUACAUGCCCAACCCCACACAGUGCCAGGACUAAUCAGUCUACAGAUACAAAUCUUGUAUAACACUGCCUCCCAAGAAAGGGGGAGGAGUAACCACUCCUGGAUAACCUCCACCACUGAAGGAGAAAGGAGUCCUUUCAAUGAAUGAAUUUAUAUUUGGUAGUUUAGCAGUGAUACAAAUAACUUGAAGACAUUCAUAGAACUUACCUUGAAGUGGGAGCAGCUUCUAGAGAUGGUGAAAGCUCUUCACUAAAUGCAAACUAAAUGAAUAUGUCCAUUUUCAAGCAUAACAGCAAUGACAAAAAGGUAGUUCCAACUCUAAAUUUCCCCGCUAGUUAUGGGAUUUCACAAAAAUGCUCACCAUUUUGAUAAUGUACCAGUUAAUGUACAAUUGAUAUAGACAUUGCUGAGAUUAGGCUUCUCAAUAGCCACUUGCCUGGCAAAGUAGCCUUGAAGUGACUAGGUAAGGAAGCUUUAGUAAGCUGGAAGAUAACUGGCUCUUUCAGACUGUUGUGCCAGAAGUGACCCAUAGGGCUAUGUGCAGGCAGGUGGACUAGCAAGCUUUGUAGAUUUCGUUGAAAGGCUGGGCUGGGUUAAUGAAAGUGACAAGGAGAAACAAACCCACAGGAGGUUUUAAAUAAAGGUGUCUGAAUCCUACAUGCCUUAGAUACCAAGUCCUCCUGCUCUUGGCUGUCACUGACAAGCAAAAGGCAUUACUUUGUUGGUCAAACCCCCCAAAAUGAAAGCGGGCCGAAAUGAAAGGUGGCUUCUCCUCAAGCCCUGGAACUCCUUUCUUUCAGGGUUUCACCAAAGCCAUCUUCCAGUGGAAAUCAAGCAAACAUUUAGAGACUGUUAUUUUAGUAGCAGACCUAAGAGUUUUGUUCAUUUUCUACUGUUACUGAUGCAGAGCCUUAUAUCGGGGAUUACAAAUAUGUCUGACACAUUUGAGCAUUAAGUCCUUUACCUUUUGCCAUGCAAUAAAAAACCCUGCAACACUGUUUAAAUGAAGGAAGUAAAACAGGCCUAAGAGAACAAUCAUUUUUACAUUGCAAAGCGCUAACUUACUUACCUUUAUAAGCUAAACGUUGCCAAAAAUGUUCUUCAAAUACUUUAAAGUUGUGACAUUCAAGGUGAGAACUCUCUUCCUAUUGUUCUACCUUGACGAAUGCCUCUGACACAUACCUUUCAUAGAUAAAAAUCCCUAUGGUUUAAGAUGGGCCUUGACAUGAUUUCAUGUAAGUCACAUUCUUGGAAGGAGGAUCAGCCCCUCCCAAAACUCCCCAAAAUUAAUACCUAAAAGUUGUGUGGUUGUGUGUGCAUGUAAAUUAUCCAUUUGAAUCAUUCAGAAACCUUGUAGACCUGACAUUCCUAAGUCAUAAUGCAAAGGCAGAUAGGGACUUAAAUGAAAGUGAACAAAACAGUUACUCUGUACAUUAUAUAAACUUAGGAAACAAAUAAAUGUUUAUCAUUACCUACCUUCUAUUAGAACAUACCUAUCAUCUAUGAAAAAUAAUAGGUUUGU